UACGUAGGGUGCAAGCGUUGUCCGGAAUUAUUGGGCGUAAAGAGCUCGUAGGCGGUUUGUCGCGUCUGCUGUGAAAACGCGGGGCUCAACUCCGCGCCUGCAGUGGGUACGGGCAGACUAGAGUGCAGUAGGGGAGACUGGAAUUCCUGGUGUAGUGGUGGAAUGCGCAGAUAUCAGGAGGAACACCGGUGGCGAAGGCGGGUCUCUGGGCUGUAACUGACGCUGAGGAGCGAAAGCGUGGGUAGCGAACAGG
rnacentral:rRNA from 1 species